UACGGGGGGGGGGCAAGCGUUGUUCGGAAUUACUGGGCGUAAAGGGCUCGUAGGCGGCCAACUAAGUCAGACGUGAAAUCCCUCGGCUUAACCGGGGAACUGCGUCUGAUACUGGAUGGCUUGAAUUCGGGAGAGGGAUGCAGAAUUCCAGGUGUAGCGGUGAAAUGCGUAGAUAUCUGGAGGAACACCGGUGGCGAAGGCGGCAUCCUGGACCGAUACUGACGCUGAGGAGCGAAAGCCAGGGGAGCAAACGGG
rnacentral:rRNA from 1 species